rnacentral:rRNA from 1 species
UUGAUCCUGGCUCAGAAUGACGCUGGCGGCGUGCUUAACACAUGCAAGUCGAACGAGAAAUCUUUAGCUUGCUAGAGAAAGUAAAGUGGCGCACGGGUGAGUAACGCGUGGGUAAUCUGCCUCCGAAUCGGGGAUAACAUUGCGAAAGCGAUGCUAAUACCGGAUAAAAUCUGGUUGGCUUCGGUGAACCGGAUCAAAGGUGGUCUCUUUAUAAAAGCUACCGUUUGGAGAUGAGCUCGCGUACCAUUAGCUAGUUGGUGAGGUAAAGGCUCACCAAGGCGACGAUGGUUAGCUGGUCUGAGAGGAUGAUCAGCCACACCGGAACUGGAACACGGUCCGGACUCCUACGGGAGGCAGCAGUGAGGAAUUUUGCGCAAUGGGGGAAACCCUGACGCAGCAACGCCGCGUGAGUGAUGAAGGCUUUCGGGUCGUAAAGCUCUGUCAGGUGGGAAGAACCCACCAAGUGUUAAGACCACUUGGUGCUGACGGUACCACCGAAGGAAGCACCGGCUAACUCCGUGCCAGCAGCCGCGGUAAUACGGGGGGUGCGAGCGUUAUUCGGAAUCAUUGGGCGUAAAGGGCGCGCAGGCGGUUUUGUAAGUCAGAUGUGAAAUCCCGGGGCUUAACCCCGGAAGUGCAUAUGAAACUAUGAGACUUGAGUAUGGGAGAGGGAAGCGGAAUUCCUGGUGUAGCGGUGAAAUGCGUAGAUCUCAGGAGGAACACCGGUGGCGAAGGCGGCUUCCUGGACCAAUACUGACGCUGAGGCGCGAAGGCGUGGGGAGCGAACAGGAUUAGAUACCCUGGUAGUCCACGCAGUAAACGUUGAUCACUAGGUGUAGCGGGUAUUGACCCCUGCUGUGCCGGAGUUAACGCAUUACGUGAUCCGNCUGGGGAGUACGAUC